CAUAUCAAAUAUUAAUCGGGGGGUUUCUUUCAGCUUCUGAGUUCAUGACACAUGCUGAAUAAUAAGGAUUAGAUUAAGAGAAGAAGGUGGAUGAUGGCAACAAAACAAUAGACCAAGGCUGUAACUGAAGAAUAAACAGGAAGGGAAUGAUGCUGCUACUGUUGCAAAGGAGAAACACUCAGCAAAGGAAAAAAAUCAUAAAAGGAAAAAGGGCUUUUCCAUGGGAGAUGUAUGAUGGAGACCAUAGUAAUAGAAGAUUUAAGGAAGAUUUUGGUUUCAUCUAUUACAAGGCAGUGUUACAAGUAAGGUAUAUACUCUCUUUUUACAAUCUUGAUGUUGUGUUCCUGAGGAGUGAGGAAGAAUACCACUGAUAUGUAUCAACCUGAAUAGAAGUAACUGCACAACACUUAAAAACUAAUAUUAUAAGAAGUUUUAGGUGUAGAAGCUCAGAUAAAGUGAUUUGCUGAUUCUAAUGGAUUUGAUUAGAACUCUAGAUUGUGUUUAUGGUAAAAAAGAAAAGACAGGGUAUUUUUGAAUCUUUACAUUCCCACUACUUUCUUUCCACCCCAUGUGACAGUUACAACAUUUUACUUCCAAUUUCCAAACAGUUGCACCGGUUAAAAUGCACCCCUUCAUAUUCUAGCUGCUUAUU